rnacentral:rRNA from 1 species
GACGAACGCUGGCGGCGUGCCUAAUACAUGCAAGUAGAACGCUGAAGGAGGAGCUUGCUCUUCUGGAUGAGUUGCGAACGGGUGAGUAACGCGUAGGUAACCUGCCUGGUAGCGGGGGAUAACUAUUGGAAACGAUAGCUAAUACCGCAUAACAGUAGAUGUUGCAUGACAUUUACUUAAAAGGUGCAAUUGCAUCACUACCAGAUGGACCUGCGUUGUAUUAGCUAGUUGGUGGGGUAACGGCUCACCAAGGCGACGAUACAGAGCCGACCUGAGAGGGUGAUCCGCCACCCUGGGACUGAGACACGGCCCAGACUCCUACGGGAGGCAGCAGUAGGGAAUCUUCGGCAAUGGACGGAAGUCUGACCGAGCAACGCCGCGUGAGGUAAGAAGGGUUUCGGAUCGGAAAGCUCUGUUGUAAGAGAAGAACGAGCGGGAGAGUGGAAAGUUCACACUGUGACGGUAUCUGACCAGAAAGGGACGGCUAACUACGUG